ACGGGUGAGUAAUGCAUCGGGAUCUACCCUGACGUGGGGGAUAACCUCGGGAAACCGGGACUAAUACCGCAUACGUCCUACGGGAGAAAGCGGGGGACCUUCGGGCCUCGCGCGGCAGGACGAACCGAUGUGCGAUUAGCUAGUUGGCGGGGUAAUGGCCCACCAAGGCGACGAUCGCUAGCUGGUCUGAGAGGAUGAUCAGCCACACUGGGACUGAGACACGGCCCAGACUCCUACGGGAGGCAGCAGUGGGGAAUAUUGGACAAUGGGCGCAAGCCUGAUCCAGCAAUGCCGCGUGUGUGAAGAAGGCCUUCGGGUUGUAAAGCACUUUUAUCAGGAGCGAAAUACUACGGGUUAAUAACCCGUGGGGCUGACGGUACCUGAGGAAUAAGCACCGGCUAACUUCGUGCCAGCAGCCGCGGUAAUACGAAGGGUGCAAGCGUUAAUCGGAAUUACUGGGCGUAAAGGGUGCGUAGGCGGUUCGUUAAGUCUGUUGUGAAAUCCCCGGGCUCAACCUGGGAAUGGCAAUGGAUACUGGCGAGCUAGAGUGUGUCAGAGGAUGGUGGAAUUCCCGGUGUAGCGGU
rnacentral:rRNA from 1 species